rnacentral:rRNA from 1 species
GGUGCCUGGCCCGCCCGCGAAAGCGUUGGUGUGUUUUGCUGGUGCUUUUACCCCGGCCAUCUUUUCCGCUUUGAGACCGCGUCUUGCCCUUCACUGGGCUGGGGCGCGGGAUCCGGAUCGUUUACUUUGAAAAAAUUAGAGUGUUCAAAGCAGGCUUCGCACGCUGUGAAUACAUUAGCAUGGAAUAAUAAGAUAGGGCUCCGGCGCUAUUUUGUUGGUUUCUAGGACCGGAGUAAUGAUUGAUAGGGACAGUUGGGGGUGCUAGUAUUCAAUGGCCAGAGGUGAAAUUCUCGGAUUCAUUGAAGACUAACUUAUGCGAAAGCAUU